AAUGUGGUUUUUUUGCAGACACACAUUUUAAAGCAUCCCAGAAGAAUGCUGUAAGAUGCAAUCUGGAACACAUGCUCAGAAUGCAAACAGUUAAUGCAUAAAUUUUCAGUUUGUACAACUGCAGCUCUAAAAGGGGGACUUGUUUAUUCAGAGCUCUGCAGAGAGAAUGGUACAGCACCCAGGGGACAGACAAUGCCAGGCACAAAACCCUGGUGCCUCGACAUGUAAAAGGAUGUUUUUCUGUGUGCUACAAAUCCCACUUGAAAAUAUAAUUAGAAGGAGAAAAUGGCAAACUAUUGCAUUAACUGUAAUUGAACAAAAGACCAGCAAGGCGUGUGGGAGGCUGCAGGAGCCCGUGGGAGUUUCAGGAUGCAGGAGAUCCAGCGAGUGACGUCUCCUGGGCACUCUCAUUUUCUUUAUGUUGUCCCUCACCACUAUUGUUGACUGGUGAUCUGACUUGUAAUUAAUAGAAAGGCUAGCAAUAACAAGCUAAAAUACAGAGCCACAGCCUAACCUCAUCAGAAACACGGUGGUUAAUCUGAUUAAGAGCAGGACUCCAAAAAGGUGACUUAGAACCAGGGUAUCAUUCCAUGUCAGGCAGGAAACUGCCCUCCUUUCUGCCACAACAGACCUGAUAUACUCACUAUCUUUUAAUGAGCUCCGCUGAUUUAUUCAGUUCGGCUCCACUCCCUCCCCCACUUCUCUACUGUGCAGGAUGUAGAUUAAUUCAAUGCUUAAUUGUUUAGUAAAUUCAAUUUUCCACAUUCUAUUCUGCAUAGCUUUAGCUAAGGUUCUUAAAUCUUCAGCAGUGAGCCCUGAGCUCAGUGUUUGUGGUCUGUGCCCACCUUUUUCAUUACCGUUUUUCUUCAUCCACCACUUAAUUCACCAUGAAAAGAUUUUCCUUGCUGGAAAUUCUGAUUCCGCUAUGAUCUGUGAGGCAUUCCGAUUCAUUGCAUUUUCAUUGUGUUGGGUCUUAGAUGCGGGCUCCUCUUUUCUCACAGCUAUGGCCACAUUAUACAGGCAUUCAUGCAAGAAGUGUUGGAUUCCACCUCAGUUUAUCCAAAUUUCGUGCAACCUAUAUGUUUAAAUUGGUGUGUGCGCCAAAAGGUGCCCAUAAUUUCCAGCUAAUAUCAUUCUUCUGAGAGCCUUCCUCUUCCAGGAGGCCUGUGAAUACUGAGCGCAGCACCUUGCGAUGAAGUCUAACUUUUGUGGCCCUUCCUUGAAUUAGCAUCGUGUAUUAGCAUUUCAAGAAUGGUGUAGUCACAUGAAACUGAGUAUCAGAAGAAAUCCACAGGGUUACCAAAACAGAACGAGAAUUGUGCUUACUUCAGUUCAUUAAGCAAGAUUAAAGUCCAAGUGCCAGAAUCAGCUCAUGAAUGCUUCCAGUAUAAAUAUGUAAGAGAGCCCUAAUCAGAAAUAACUCCCCCAAAAGCCAUCUACCAGGGAGUUUUAGUUUUAACACAUGUCUCUGACUAUAUGUGGUCUCACCAAACAGCAUCAUCAUUUUGGAAUUAAAAUAUGUGCAUGUGAUUAAGUAUAUAAAUCUGUGAAGUUGUGAGUUGCUUGAGGCCACUUGGAAAGUAAGGCUGACAGAAUAAAAUCAACGGUGUGUUCAGUUAGACGCACAGCGAAUCUUAGUCAUGACCCUAAAUUAAGUCUCAAAGAAGCUUCUUGCCUUCAGUGUCUAUAAUUUCAGAAUGAGUAAUGGCUAUAUUGUCAUCUGUGAGAAAGCCACUAAGACAAAGGCCCUAACCUGAAGUCCAAUUACCACCUAUGGAAUAUGUCAGGGGCAGAGGGGCAUCUGUUCCGUUAAUUCAUAUGUUUAUGUACAUACUUAUUUGCAUAUUUUUCCUACAGGGUUGGGGGGAUGUCUGUAACUGUCCAUCAGAUCUCAAGGGAGCAUGUGACUCUAAAAGUAUAUGAAUCAUUAGUAUAGGAGAUACUUACAGGCCUAGACACAAAGCUAAAGAGAAGACUUCUGACGUCACUGAAUCUCCACGUGCAGGAUGGCACAGUGGUAUCCUCCAAACAGGGCUUGAGUGUCAUAGGUGGGAAGAGGCAGUUAAACUGGCCCUCUAGCAGAAGUUCCUCUCCGUUAAUGUGCAAAUAUUAUAUGUUGCAUAUAAAAUAACCCCAUUUGUGUUUCUAAUUCUAGGACCUCAAAAAGAGCAAUUUGAAAUAUUUGAAGCAAGCAAUUGUUUUCACCAUCUUCUCUUGCUGUAGCAGCUUAAAGGUUUCUGGUUUUUGUUUGUUUGCUGUUGUUUUGUUUUUCUUUUACUUCUUAAGAAUGAAGAAAAAAACUCAUUUGGUUUGUUUUCUUUUCAGUGUUUUAGUUCUGGUACUUCCUAUUAAGAGAGGGUUGUGCAGGCAUCUGGUAGUGGGCAGAUAUGACCUCUCCUGACUGUAGGCCAUUUCAGGACAAGGACAGUAACACAAUCUGCCCAAACUGCUCUUUUAAGACCUUGGAACAACCCACAGCUAAAGCUGAGGGAACUAGCUAGAAUCAUUGUUUCUGACUUUCCCAGCCCUAUCUCAACAGACUGCGCAUUAAAACACAUUGGCUCUUUCCAUCUCCGCCUUAGACUCUGAGAUAUUGUGAGGCCUCUUCCUACCUUGGACAUUAUCCUUGGACAACUCCUUUCACUAGUGUAAAGUGAAUUAGCACAGAUAUAGACUAGGCUUGUAUCUAUGGAUUUCUUCUCUGCUCUUCUGACUUACAUGAACAACAGUGUGAUCGACCACCUCUGUGUGAAGAUGCCUGCUUCACUCAACAAGUCCAAGGCUAUAACCUCUUUCCCCAAAGCCUCCUUCCUAUUCAUUAUUUUGCUUCUUUGUUUAAGGACAGUCUCACUGGAUGGUCUGGAGCUCAUUGUGUAGACCAUGAUGACCUCAAGCUUACAGCAAUUCUCCUGUCUCCACCUCCUGAGUGCUAACAUUGCAGGUAUGCGGCAGCUUGGUUUAUUCUGUUUUAUUCUCCAUCCUAAUUCAUAUCAUACCAUCCUCCAUGGUAAAACCUCAACAACCAUCUGUGCCCCUCCCCCUCCCCCUCUUUCCAUAAUUAUGAGAGUCAUCAUACUUUAUCCACUUUUAUCACUAAGUAAUUGUCACACAAAUCUCCCCAGCUUAGGAAGAACUGGGUUUCACUAAAGCUUGAGCCCCAUGAAGGCAGGAAUGGUUCUGUUUUUCUCGCCAUUAGGUUCUGAGUAUCAAGCAUAGCCCUGUGAUGGUGCUCAUGAAACGAUGCGGAAUGAACUGCUCCCUACUGCCUAUGGAGUACAGUCUGAGUUCAUUAGCCUGAUUCACGAAGCCUGCAGGGCCUCUCUGGGGGCCAGUCUUGUCCUUGUUGCUAUAUUCUAGCAAACCCUGCCACAUGUGAUCACUCCAAGCCUAAUCCCUUCCCCCUCUGUCCCUGACGGCCUGCCCUGCCCUGUAAGACCCAGCCACUAGUUUUCCCUUAGUAGUUACGCCUUCUCUGAUACAUCUAUGCUGUCCCUGGAUGAAGCUCUUCCCUCUAGAGCACUCAAACAGCCUCAUCUCACCUGGCACACUUCCUACCUUGUUGCUUUGUGGUAGUCUGCUGUGCCCAUCUACAAGUCUCUGCAAUGAAUACUUCAGAACAUGUCUUAUUCAUCUUUUGUUUCCCAGCCUAGGAGAUGUUCUUAUGAUAACACACACAAAUGAUUUUAAAGUAGCUUCUGCAUGUGUCUGUCUGUCUGUCUGUCUCUCUCUCUCUCUCUUUGUGAGCACUUGAGAGCAACUGCCCAUAGAGGUGUUAGAUUCCCUGGAGCUGGAGUUACAGACAAUUGUGAGCUACACAACACGAAUUCUGGAAACCAAACUCUGGUCCUCUGCAAAAGCACUACAUUUAACUUUUGAGCCAUCUCUCCAGCCCCACAAAUAUGUUUUUGAGCAAAUGAAUAGAUUAAUAAAUAGACAUGGAUCUCUACCUGACCUCACACCUGAUAUUGUGAGUGUUUAUGUUAAAUAUUACAAGACAACCACAGAUAUUUGAAGAAUCUAAAUAUGUCUCAAAUACUUAUAUAUACUGUAAAAUAUAUUAAUAUCUAGUUGUAGCAUACCACAGAAAGAGAAGGAAGGAAGGAAGGAAGGAUACAGAAUUAGACAAAUCAGAAAACCUUGGUGAACCAUUUACAUAGUUUGAGACAAGUCACAAUUUCUCUUACCUUAACGACUUUAUAUGUAAAACUGAAUUUUACAAAAUGCCCCCCCCCUGGAACAAUUGAAAGGAAGAAAGGUGCAAGGAGGAGGGUCAACGAAGGACAAGGGAGGGAAUGGAGAGUAAAUAUGAGUACGAUGGCAUAUAUGUAUGAAAAAUUUUUUUUAAAAAAUCUCAAAAGAAAACCUUAAACCUCUGCACCAUGCAGAUAUAGUAUAGACACGCUUCAAGGAUGCAGGAAGUACUCACUAAGUGACAGCACUACAGAUCUAACAGGAAAGUUAGAGACAUCUACACACAGGUGUAUCCCUCCACUCCCACCCCUGUUAACCCAACACAAGCAAGAGUCAUCUGGGAAGACUCCUGUAUGGAGCAUUUUCUUAAUUAAUGACAGAUGUGAGAGAGCCAAGUCAAUUGUGGAGAGCAAUGCACCUGAGGAGGUGGUCCUAAGAGUUUAUAGGAAACCAAGAUGAGCAAACCAUAAAGCAAGCCAUCCAGCAAGCAGUGUUUCUCCACGAUCUCUGCUUCUGUUCCUGUUUCCAGUUUCCUGCCUUGAGUUUCUGGCUUGGCUUCCUCUGAUGAUGCCCUGUGUCAUGCAACUGUAAACUUUAUAAACCCUUUCCUCCUCCAUGUUGCUUUUGGUCAUGAUAUUUAUCAAGCAACAGAGAAACAAACUGAGCUAGGCCAUCUCCCAGCUGUUCUGUGCCCAGAGAACGCAAAUGGAUCUUCCUUUCACCUCAGAAUAACAUUAUUUCACAGUGGUAUGCUUGUUCCCACCCUAUCAAGUUUAAUUUGAUAUCUAAUGUUAUAAAUUACUUUAUAGUAUUCAAAAUAAUGUGAUGUUUCCACUUGUAUCAGAAUGAUGUUAAAAUCCUCUUUUCUAAACUAAAAUUAAAUCUUUUCUACUGAAAAACAAUAGAGACAACUAUUCCCUCCUGGUCUUUCUCAAAAAUGGUAGAGAAAUGAGUCAUGAUAUUGAUAGAGAAGAGGUCUUCUGGCUGCUAUGGAAAGACAAUGGAGCAAGUCGGGUUCAAAGUUGAAGGGUCAUUUACACCCGUGAGCAGGUACUCACUGGGGACAGACAUGUGCUCUCAAACCACCAGGGCUCUCUAACAAAGAAUCUCUAAUGACUUGGAAGAACUGACACCUUUAAAUUCUGUCAAAGGGCAGAGACUGAGACUUCCCGAUCCAGAGAAUCCUGAUCCACAUAACACACGUACUCACGUACUUGAUAGUCAUAUGCACAUCAGAUUCCCAUGCCUACACAUGCCAUGCUCACCUGCACACACAUAUCACACUUAGCCAUUAUCAUAGAGGAUGGAGUUGCCAAGUGGCACCACCCCACCACACCAGGAGAGCCAGAGCUAAUUAAUUAACCCCAGCUCUCUACUUUCUGCCUCCAAAGUGUCUUUCCUAAAUCUUCACAAGCACAUGGUAUCCGCCAAUAUAUUUCUUGAGAAACCCUGUAACCAAAACUACCAUUCAAGGAAAAAGGCCAGAAAGAAGCAAAUACCAAGAAACUGGAAGGAAGGAGGAGCCAAGCAAGUCACUUCAGUGGGAAACAAAAUCCUAUUUACCAGUGUGGACUUGAAACAGGGGAAUGAAGGAUGUGGAGAUGCUCCUAGGUGUGAGGAUAGACUGGCACUCCCACUGCUAUCCCUGCAGGCCCCAUUUGCAUCUGCUUUAGAGCCAAAACUCACUGUCAAUCACUAAGUCCAUUGAGCCACUAUUUAUUAGACACUUGCAUUUUGUAGAGAUGAGGGAGGAAUGUUCUUCUAAGUCUACAUCUUCUCAACUUAAAAUAUAGAUAAUUAAGAAAAAAAAACAUAAAAUUCUUUAUAGGCAUUUAAAAAGAUUCCUGGAACUCAUUAAACAAAACUCGGCUAACCAAAGGAAGUUUGGGCUGUCAGUAUGCUUUGUUUUGUUUUGUUUUGUUUUGUUUUGUUUUGUUUUGUGUUUGUUUGCUUGUUUUGAUGGAGUAAAUCUGUGUCUUCCCCUUUUAUGCUUUUAGUUGUUUUUCAAUGUCAGAAGCAUUCAAAACAUUAAUACUUUGAUAUACACAAAAGCUGUGGAGUGAAGGUCCACAUUAAAGUGUUUUAGGGAGGGGCUGGAGAGAUGGCCCUACAGUUAAGAGCACUGAUGUCUUUUCCAGAUGACCUGGCUUGAUUCCCAGCACCCAUAUAGAGGGUCACAACCAUGUAUAGCUCCAGGUGCAGGGCAUCUGAUAUCCUCUUCUAACCUCUGCAGAUCUGUAUGCAUGUGGUACACAAACAAGCAUACACAACAAAACACCAACGCACUUAAAAAUAAUGAUAAAGCUUAAACUAUUAGAACAGUCUUCAGAAAUGAUUUAAACAUUAAACAGGGCACUUGAGAUUAAACAUUUCCAGGCCCACAUCUCCUGCUGAAGGAUAACAAAGAGUGGGAAACAAUUGCUGGUGACAAAGAGUGGGAAACAAUUGCUGGUGACAGAAGGUUUGCUUUAUCUUACUUUACUCCAUUUCGCUUUAUUUGUGUGUGUGUGUGUGUGUGUGUGUGUGUGUGUGUGUGUGUGUGUGUGUGGUGCAUAUGCCUAUUUAUCUACUUGUGCAACACACAACUACAAUGCCCCCAGAGGUCAAAAGAGAGCAUUGCAACCCCUGGAGUUGGCUUUAGUGGCAGAUGUAAGCAGGGGUGUGGGUCAUGUGGGUGGCAAGUGUUCUUACCCAUCAACUGCUGGCUUUUUAAAACAGUGUCUCCUGGGCACGCUCAAUCCUACUGUCUUUACCAACUCAUUGGUCUCUUCUCAGUUUCCUCUCUUCCUUUACCUUGCUCUCUUACCUUCUUCAAAUCUGUAGGUCUGAACAGUUCUUUGUUUUUGAGUCAAGGUCCUUCACUGUACAGGAACUUACUAUGUAGACCAGACUACUCACUCUUGACCUCAUAGAGAUACACCUGCUGAGUGCUGAGAUCAAAGGUCUUUGUCACCAUGCAUGGCUAGGAUCUUACUGUGUUCCUAUUUAAGACUGCAAUAAAAUGGGCUUUUACUUCACUACUAGAGGCCCAAGGGUUAAUUUUGGAGACUAGGGCAGAUGGUAAAUCUGUGGUAAGGCAAUGGAAGUCCAGCAUCCUCUCUCAGGGUCUGUGGCUGUCACCAAGUGAUCACACUUCCUCUGCUCGCAGUCUAGACACAUAUCUGGUUGGCUAUCUAGUCAUUCAUUCCUUAGGCGCAACACCCGCUACCUUGGUGCUAGCUGGUAUCUUCAUACAUAAUACAAGUGUGAAACCUUGAUGACUAAGCAACUUUAUAUGCAUGCAUUUACAUUGUGUAUAUAUUAUUUGUUAUUGUAUGUAUGACGAUAUGUAGCCAAAGCAGGUAAUUUGUGGAAAUAAAGACAGCAUCUGUUGAAUUGAAUUCUAUAUUUCUUAGUUCACAUAUACCACAAAUAAGUUCUGCAAAUGAUAGUUUUUCCAAAUACUGAAUCUCCUAUCUCUGUGUAGUGAGGCAUAUAGAGGAGGAAGAAUUUUUGUGCUUUUUUUUUUUUUUUAAACCUUUGGUGAAAAUUCUCCAAGGAGUUAUUUCAUCUAUAAAUAAAAAGUUUUCUGUCAGGUGACUGCAUGAGUUCCAAGAAUCAUCGAAGCCCAGAUGCACAAAGGAACAUGUGUGCACACACCUAUGCACACAUGACAGCAUCUAUCUAUCAUGUGCAUAAGCAUAAGGUAAAAAGUAUCGAGUGAUUUUAAAUGUUAUAAAUUAUAUCCCAAUGGAAUUUAAAGCAGCUUGGCCAUCAUGCAAGACAUUUAAGUCUACUAGCUCUUAUAUAUGUCACCUAGUCUCACACAAAUGUCCAUGCUUCAUUCUCUUCUCAGUACCUGGGAUCUACUACCGUGGCAUGUAGGAGGGACAGUGAGGAGGAAGCUCAGAUCCAGUAUCUAUUCCAAUGCUUCUUAAAACCCUCCUUUCCCACAGCUGGCAUCUUUUAGGUCUCUAGUCCAAAAUUCUCGGGACGAUGAAUGCACAUGGUUGAGAAUUUAAAGAUGAACAAUGCAAAGCCAAGAUGUGUAAAUGUAAAAGAACACCCAGAAUGUUUCAAAAGCAUUCCUGAUGAAUCCAGGCAGCACUGACAGGCUCUCUGCAGCUUUUCUAUUUUGAGAAUCAGCAUUAACAUCAUUCCAGAAAGACCUCCCUGUGGCCCCAGAUGAUAACAGGUUUCCAAAUGGGGUACAUUCAACAGGUUACAAGACAAACGAAUACUCAUGGCUCAAGGGCAGUUGACAAGUAUUGACAACCAGUUUUACCCAAAUCUCAAAAGUGGCAUUAGGAAUAGAUAAGUAAUUUACAGAAGGUUCAAGUUCACCAAAUGUUCAAAUUCUACUAAGCAGGCUGUUGGAGUGGGACCACAAGCAGUGAACAGAAGAGAAAAGAAAGCCUGAUUCCAGAAAGUCUCCUAGUGAGUGUGUCUAUGCCAGGGACAAUGGACUGUGUCUGUAGUCCCAGCAACAGGGAAAGCUGAGCCCAGUAGUUCAAAGCCAGCAUGGGCAACAUACUGACAAGCUAUCUCAAAAAUACAUAGAUAGAUAGAUAGAUAGAUAGAUAGAUAAAUAGAUAGAUAGAUCUUUCCUUUUCUUUGCUGCUUUGGAAAUCAUACCUUGGAAUGUUAGUUCACAUCAUUUAAUCUUUUAGUGAAACAACAAAUGAAUCCCUAAUCCAACCAGCACCACUCUAUUUGCAAAUAUUUAUUUCUAAAUACUUCAAGCCACACUCUGUAUCUGAUAGCUUUCUACUGAAAUUUGUGUUGUCUUUAUAUCGUUUCCAUUCAGCAGCAGGAAAGAUUCUAUAACUAAAUGCUAACACACAGUGUUAUAAAGUCCCUUGUAUGAGACUGUUUGUUGUGUGCCAGUGUUUUAUUAUCUAUUUGAAAUGAUGGUAGUCCUUCAAAGAAAUUAAGAUAAACUCAAAGGUGUCUUAUACGAAACAACCACAAACCACAAACUUCCUAAGCAAGCAUUCUACCAGCAAGAGCACCCAAUGAUGCUUAAAAUAUUGCAUCCUUAGCACACGUGAUAAACAAAUGCAUGAACACAGCACACUCACUAAGCACAGGAUUCACCCAGUACUGUCAUCCGGGUUGCAUCAUAAGAGUGAGUUUUCAGUGGUUUGCUUCUCUCUCUCUCUCUCUCUCUCUCUCUCUCUCUCUCUCUCUCUCUCUCUCUCUCUCUGCCUGUUUCUCUAUAUGCCACCCCCCUUCUCUCUCUGUUUCUAUCUCUAUUUGUCUCAAGAGUCUCACUACGUAGCUCGAGCUGGCCUAUCAUUCUGUAGAUCAGGCUGACCUCAAGCUCACAGAGCUCUGCCAGCCUCUGCCUCCCAUUUCUGGUGUGCAUCACUGUACCCAGCUGCUUUGAUACAUUUUGUUCUGUUUUGUUUUAUUUUGUUUUGUGUUGUGUUGUGUUUUGCAAUGGGUUCUUGUUUGUGUUUUGUUUGGUUUGGUUUUGACAGCAUCUUAUUGGCCUCAAACUCCCAGUCCUCUUGCCUCAUGUUGUAUUGAGUGCAGAGAUUACAGGAGUGUGGCACGCUCAGUCUCUUUUUAUUCCAUGUUUGUUAGCAGAAUAAUAGUGACCUACUUAAAAGUAACAAUUAUAUUUUUCUUGAAGCUCUAUAAUUAUAAAAUUUUCUAUAAAACAAUACCUGUGUCAAACAGUACCCAUCUCUUUUUGUCAAGUCAAUUGAUGUUUUUGAAAGAUGAACAGAGUGUAAUUAAAAAGAAAGCACAUUGUUUAAUGGAGUGCUUGGGGCACUGUUUGACACAGUUUUCGUGGUACUCCUUGGUCCUCAUUAGUUCUCAUGGCGAGUGGGUGAGUGGAGUUUGCCCAUUCUCUAUUUCAGAAACCGUGGGAGAAGCUCACCAAGGUGAAGAGACAUCACCUCUCAACCAAAGUCCACAUUCAAAUUUGUGUGCUUUGUCCUGAGACUGCAUUUGGGGUGGGGGUAGGGAGGGAGAGUUCCAAGUGUCCAAGAGAGUGUAAAAGUUAGCAGACUUAAUUGCUUUUUCUCUAGUGUUUCCAAAGUUUUACCUGGUCUACUUUUAUACUUCCAUGCAAGAAAUAAUCCCAAUCUUGAUCCAAGGAAGAAAAAGCUAGCUACUUUACAGUCUUGUUUUCCCCUCCCAUCUUGGAAACUUUCACUUAACAUUGAUGCUCAUGACGGUUAUAAUAAAAUCUCGUCUAACUUCCUUACAGAUUUGCUGGAGCAUUUCAACCAAGCUUGAUUCUGUUGUCUCCAAGAAUUUCCAAAUCUUUAAGCUUCCUGACAGUGUUAAAUUUGGAGAUGGGGGAGGAGAUCUAUUCACCAUUUUCCAUGAUUUAUGUCAGAUAUGGUCUUCAGAGAGACUCUUCUCAAGGCUGCCUGAAGUUGGACUUGAGACUCUGUUCUCAAGAUGCCCAACUUCUCUAUAUUCAAGCACUUAGCUUAGAGGUCAAUGAAACUCGCAUCUCAAGAUGCCCAACUUCGCUAUAUUCAAGCACUUAGCUUAGAGGUCAAUGCAAAAGAGUGUGGGUUCCAGGGCAGGGUGUCAACCCUGGAGGUCCCUUGUUAAAACUUUCUAGUCAUGGAGGGCUGGAGAGAUUGCUCAGUAGUUAAAAGCACUGGCUGCUCUUCCAGAGGACCAGGGUUCAAUUCCUAGCACCCACAUGGUAGCUCACAGCUGUCUGUAACUCCUGUUUCAGGGGAUCUCACAGCCUCACACAGACAUACAUGCAGCCCAAACACCAAUUUAUAUAAAACAAAAAUAAGUAAAUAAAUAAAUCUUGUAGUCACUUAGAAAGCCAGGCUUCAGUCAUAUCCUGGGCUGACAAGACCUUGGACUUUUUCUCACUGUCUAAAGUAUGUAAGUAUCAGGUAAAUGGCAAGGAGGGAGAGCUAUAUAAUUGGCACUCAUUGUUAGGGUGGCAAGCAAACCUUCAGAGAGCCCCAAUGGUGGAGUAAAGAACCAUGUUCCUAAUGGGAAGGGCAGAGGAACUUGGAAAAAUCAAAGUGAGCUGCUGCCAAGCCCCAAUUCCAGAUCUAAAUGUUUAUAAUAAACUCACUCAGAUGCAGACUGUACCUGGACUGGAAUAAUUAUUAGAAUAAAAAUAUUUGAUCAUCAAUAAAUCACUUGAUGAGCAUAGAACAUCGAUCAUUAGUAGACCAGCACCUUUUCGAACAACCAGCUACAGGACAGGACUUUAUAUGUGUCUUGACCAUGCUAUUAUUGAACACAACUUGUAAAAAUCCUCUGAUGAGGCAAAUCCAUAGGCCAAGUCAUCACAUAAACAGCAGCUGGGAAGACUUCAUGAACAGUAUUUCUCAGAAGUUUUCAGCAUGGGCUAGGGGCAGAGAACACACUGAAAGAAAGGAAGCUUGCUGGGUCUAUUCCUCAAUUGCUUUCUUUUACAAAUUAAUUUAUGGGUAAGUACAGUUCAAAAUGUAAAGCUCCUAAUUUUUCUUUAUUAGAAACUAUGACCAAGAAAAAUCACAAUAACUAAAAUGAAGAUGGCCACCCUGUGUGAAGGCAUAUAUAUACCUUUAACCUCAGCAUCCAAAAAGCAAAGGCAGGUGGGCCUCUUUGAACAAGACUGAGGCCAAGCAGGUCUAUUUCUGUGGUUCUUAACCUGUGGGUUGCAACCCCUUUGGAGGUCACAUAUCAAAUAUCCUGCAUAUCAGAUAUUUAUAUUACUAUUCAUAACAGCAAAAAUUACAGUUACAAAGUAGCAAUACAAAUAAUUUUAUGGAUGGGGGUCCUUAUAACAUGGGGGAAUUAUUAAAGGGCACCAGCAUUAGGAAGGUGGAGAACCACUGGUAUAUAUUUUAAGCUAAAGGUCAGUCAGGGCUGUAUAGUAAGACUCUGACCCCAAACCAACCAAACAACAGCAACAAAACCGAAGCUGAUCUCAUGGAAAGAAAUGAACGACCCUGUAAAAGAGGACAAUAUGCAUUCACUAAGAGCAACCCCUAUUACCCACUUAAGGCGAAAUGCCACCCUUGCCUUAUGAGGAAAACUUUAUACUUUUGGUAGAAUCAUAGGGUAAUUCCUUUAAACCAGGCAAACAAUAGAAUAUGAAUAAGUGACCCAUCUACUGACAUGCUCAAGAGUGAAUGGCAAGGUGGCUACUCAGAAGACUCAGGAGUGACAAUCUUAAAUCAAGGUACUACUCAAUGACCAGUUACCCCAAAUCUCUAUUCUAAACUUCUCUUCAGCGAGGGACUAAAGACAAUUCCAUAAGUGACAUAGCUCAUAACGUUUACACCAUUUGAUGCUAUUUUUAGUUUCAUCUCUCCAUUGCUGGUAUUUGUGAUUAAUAAAGAUUUAAGAUAACAUGUCUGAGUUUUAUCCUAUGGAGAGCACUGGGGUUUUUUUGUUUGUUUGUUUUAGCUUCAUGGAGAGUAAUUUGAACACUUCAAUAAGCAGAAGGAAGGCUACCUUUAAAAGCCAUCCAAGGGAGCUCAUGGGUUACUUUGCCUUGUCCUUACAUUGUAGAAAUCAUUAGCCCCCUCCCAGGUGGAUCUCUCUUCUGAGGCCUGGCAGACAAACACUUCAUUUCAUGUAAAUAGUGCAAGUAUGCCUUAGAAUAUCAGACAUUGUACACCAUUCAGUUUGGAAUUAACUUUUCAAACCACUAAGGAAUAACUUCUGAAUAACAGAAAACACUACAGGUCGCAGCUAAUUAUAGCUUACCUAUCAAAUUAAGUUAAUGUUAGAGAACACAUCCAACAGCUGUGGAGUUUUAAGAGGUAUUUUAUUGUUAAGGAAGUGCAUGCUCUCCCAUUUCUGAAUCUUUUAAGAGAAGAGAAGCAUUCUGUAAGUUGAGAUGACAUAAGAAAACAGAGUUUACAUCAAACUGCUCCGUCCUUUGUCCCUUGACAGCUGUGUCAAUUUCUCCAUAGAUUUCAUUUUCCAGAGUUUCAUAAUAGUCAUAAAAAAAAACACACUUCACUUUAAAGUGUUUCUGUGGGUCAUAAUGGGAAUGUAAAUUCAGAAUACAAUGCCAAUCAUGGAGAUAUGGGACCAAAUCUGGACCAUUAAUUAAGAAUACAGUCACCAAAACUAGCCAUCUGGGUACAAGAGGAAGGAAGAAGGCUGGUAUACUAAUCUGUUCACCCAGGAGUGGCAGCCCCAGAGGAGGUGACCAAGACUGAGAGUGUGUGGCUUUUCACCUAACUAUAAAGCAAAUGCUAGCAGGGUUCCAUGGCUUUAGCCUCUGUCUAUUCUUAUUCUAAAUGGACAGUGAACGUCUUCCCCGGAGAUAAUCCCAUGUGUGGCUAACAAACCCCAAGGCAGUGCAGGUUCAAAUCUCAGACAGAUAAGUUUUUCAAAACAAGGAAAAACCAAAGUGAUCCAGAAGAGAAAUCACUGCAGCUCUUCCUCACUACACCAUUCCCCAGCCAGGCAUCUCGGGCAGCAGUGUGAGGAGAGAAAGCCUGCAGGACUGAGCGCCCAUAAGCCACAGUGCCCUCAAAGUCACCUUGUGCUGCCCAGCUCUGAUGCAAGAGUUGCCAUACAUCGAUUUUAGGGUGAUGCCAAGAUCACUGAAAAUGUCACUGUCAUGAAUUCUAAAUGACUCAGGAUACCCUCUGCUUAAACCAUUUGUAAAGCAGGAGGCUGUGUGCUGUGUGGAAUGGAAAACAGCCCAACUCUAAAGUUUGAUUAAUCUUAUUAAACUAUAAAAACAUCGUGGUUGUCUUUAAAGUUAUACUUUGCGCACAUACACACUGUGACAGUCCCUGGCAUCUGUAGAAGAACAGGCUAUCACUAGGAUUUUCAAAGAGUUGAAAAUCCUAAAUUUUCACUGCACAGACAAGUCCCUCACUUGAACAUAAAUCUAUGAACCGUGGGUCCUGAAGUGCCAAAGAAUUGAUAGUUGAAACAUAUUUCUGGAAAUUAUAAAUAAUACAAAAUUUAUUUUUAAGUUAUUUAUUCUCUUAGUUUAUGUCUAUAAAUGGUUGCAUAUGUCAUGCAAAGAACACAAAGGCCCUGUUUCAUAGCUUCAGAAAAUCCUAUGACCUAAUUCUGGCUAUAAUUUGUAUUUGACUAUGUCUACUUAUGCUAACAAUAAACAACAGGAAUCUAACUGAAUACGUCUAGAUAUAAGUCGUUUUUCACAGGGGAAUAUACACUUUAUAGUGUGCUUUAGUCAAUUUUAGGAACUCUGAAACAAGUGAAAAACAUAAUUUCACAACAUUCGUACAAUCAUAUUUUCUUUUAAUGAGAGUGUAUUUUCUAGAUGAAGAGAAGCUGUCUGAGUCAGCCCAGUGAAGUAUUACCAACUGCAUUAAUUCUGUGCACUUGGGUGUAUUAAACUGAUUGAAAUUAGAUUCUAGUGACAAAUAUUUAAACAAAUGUAUUCUCAGUUAUUUUACAAAGUAUACUUUAUGCCAUUUAUUUAAAAUGUCACAUUUGUAAGUGUGGAAAACAUGUAGCAAUUGCUCCAUACAGGUAUAUUUCCUAGAGAGGCUGCUUAAGAGUUUACAAAGAUGCUCUCAUUUCCAUAAUUUUGAAAGCACAGCAUGUUAAUCUGAGCAUAUGGGAUAGAUGGUCAUUUAUCUUGUAUUUUUCAUAAAGGUCCAUUCUCUUUCAUUUCUGCAGAUUUUUUUUUUUGGUUGGUUGGUUGAUUGGUUGGUUUUCAGAAAUAGGAUUUCUCUGUGUAGCCCUGGCUAUCCUGGCACUUUCUCUGUAGACCAGGCUGGCCUCAAACUCAGAGAUCUGCCUGUCUCUGCCUUUCUAGUGAACUGAAGGCAUGUUCAACUACCACUGAGAUUGUCUGCAUAUUUAAUUUAUACAUGUUAGAGUCACGUACAAUUGUUAAAGGAUAGCAAAAAUGUCAAACUUUUACUGCAUUUCAAAAGCCAAAUCUUAACCUUAUUAUUAAAAACUGAACUGAGAGAAUAUGUGUUGUAUGUUUUGAGUUUUUUACAUUUAUAUUUUAUGUUAAAAAAUAUCUUUUUGUGGCUUGGGGAAUUAAACCCAAGGCCUCACAUGUGCUUAGGCAAGCACUGCAUUGUUGAGCCACACUCCAUCUCCUCGUCCCUAACUUUCUUUUAUUUUUAAGAUUUAUUUAAUUUAUAUAUAUGAGUAUUUUGGCUACAUGUAUUUCUGUACACCAUGUGCAUGCCUGAUACCCACAUAGGUCAACAAAGGAGGGCAUUGGAUCCCCUGAAACUGGAGUUAUAGAUGGUUCUGAACCAUCCUGUGGAUUCUGUGAAUCAAACCCAGCCAGGUCGUCUCGAAGAACAAUUGCUCUUAACCACUAAGCCAUCUCUCCAGUGCCAGAGACCCUAACUUUAAACAAGCACCACAUCUGGAUGUUUUCAGCUGAGCAAGAACAGCAAGCCUCCUGUAAUUUAUAGUUCUGUUUUAUUCAGAAUUUUAGGAAAUCUUUGGCAUCUAUACGACGGCCACAUAAACAUGCCAUAUGCAGACACUCUCAUAUCUUUUAUUUGUAAAGGACUAAUUUUCAUAAUUGUAUUUAAUCUGAAAUAUCAACUUUUUUUUUACCAUAAAAGAAACAGCAAAAGGUUCUGUUUCAACUAGAGCAUACAUUUGAGUAUUACUUCAAUACAAAUAUGACAGAUGUCAUAAUACACAAAAAGAGGCCAUGUGAAGUGUGACAGUUGCAAACAUUUAAGACUGUGUAACAGAAGUGACUGAGAAUCAUACGAGUUUACUGUCCUUCAACUAUUUCCUUGACAGUGGAGUCAAAUAAUGUUGAAUUAUAGACUCCUUACAGGAAGUCUUAUUUCAUGUUCAUUUUUUUUUUAAUUUUUCUCUGUUAGGCCCUGUAGGACUUUGGCUGCAUGCCCACUUUCCUUUAGAAGUUUUUGUAUACAUCCUUGGGUUGUGUUUGAUGAUUAAAUGAUUAUUUAUUAAAACCUUUAGGGUUGGUGGUGUAGUUCAGUGGUAGAGCACUGAUUUAGGUAGGGUCCAAUCCCCGGAAAGGCACACACAAACACACGUCUAUACUCUACAGCUUCACACUUUUGACAUGUUUACUUUCCAUAAGAGAAUAUUGCUUUUGCAAUGGAAACCGUAAUGUUGCCAAUAUGAAAAAAAUGUUUCAUCCGAAUCUAUGUUGAAAAUAUUUUCUUAAUGGUGAGAGCCUUAAUAAAAUCUGUUAUCAUUCUUUGCAGUUUCUCCAAAUGUACUUUGAACAUCGAGGGAGGCUAAGCUGACUGUAUACUGCUUAGUAGACCCCAGGCUAAUACUUCAAUCUAUCUGCUUGGCCUUAAUAACCAUUUUGCAGCUACAGAUCCACAAGCAGUCUCAUUUUUUGAGUCUGAAGUUUCCAUGUGUAUUUUCCCUCCCAUUGCCCAGUAACAGCUGUGUUUUACAUCUUUUGGGCUAUGCCAAGCAUUUUAAGAUAUGAAUAUAUAAGUGUCUGAAAACAAAGUGAUUCAAAAUUUAUUGUCAGAGUUGGACAGUUUUAGCAUAUUGGCUGCCUUUUGGAAAGGAGAACCCACAUUUCCAUCCUUUAUUUCCUGCCCCCCUUCUCUUCCUUUAGUAUUAGUCCAAUAGUCAUAGUGGGCACACUACUCUAUGUACUACUGAAUGGUGAGCAAUGGAGCCAUUCCAACGGAGAAGAAUGGCUGUUUGAGUGACCUAUUGCCUCAGAGCUAGUUAAACCAGAAACAAUAGUUACAGUUUGCUUUGUACAAAGUAGCAUUGGGAUUGCUGCUUUCUAUUAACCAUAGAACUUGCACUGGGGACUUCUACUGGGAGGAGAGGGAAUUGGGGGGGGGAGCUAAGGAAAUGAAGAAGAGAGGAGAAAGAGGGGAACUGGAAAGGCCCUAGGAGUAGUAGUCUGUGUACUAUUGGCAUUUAAACCUGGCUGACAUUUAACGUUGUAAUUAAUCCAGGCUAUUUGCAUAGACUAGAUCCUAUACCCUUUUUUCUUAUUGUUUUUCUUAAAUGUUUUAAAUACCUCUAUUAAGAAUCAAUCUAUCUCUACUCACAAAUCCAUACAUAAAUAUAAAAGCCAAGCAGAAAAUAACAAUAAAAACAUACCUGCUAAAUAAGUAACUUUUAAUUCAAAGCAACAGAGGAUCUGGAAUGUGCAUCCCAAUUAGCCCGUGUAGUGACAAGCAGUCAACACCUUAUUAUUUAAUCAUUAAAGAGAAUCUUGCCAUAAUUCUCCUCUGACAUAUUUCAAAAAAUGAAUUAAAGAUACAUCAUGUGACCCACAACAACAAUCUACAGUAAAGUUAGAUAAUGCUAACACUCCAUAUUCUACAAAGAUUGUGCACUGAGAGGCUCAGGAAUAAGUUCUUAAAUAAGAUCCUAUGAAGGAUUUACAGAUUUUUUUUAAAAGUGUAUUAAAUGUAAGCAUUCAGAAACAAGCUACCUAAGGGCCUGUUUGCCUACCCACUGCUGGUUGUAUCCAGUUUUUGAGUAGAUGAAAACACAAUUGUUUCUAGUAUUGGUAAACAUCUGCUGCCUCAUCAUUUUUUUUUCUAAGCUGCCGAUAUAAGCCAUGAAGGACAUUAGGUUGUCCCCGCCUUACAGGAACCUCUUCCAGGAACCUCUUCCAGCAGGAAGCUGAAAUCUCCCGAGGAUGACUUUCCUUGCUACUUCGUAAUAGGGGAGAGCUUUCAGUCAAGUCUGAUUUCGGUUUUAAAACUGUUUCACUCAAACUAUGCUUUAAAAGAGGCAUUCGGAACUUCGCAAAUAGAUAAAAACCAUCUCCAUCAAAGUUCCCAGGCCCAUUUGAGAACCCUUCGCAAUGGCUCAGACCUCUCUAGAUCUCCUGGACCUGGUGACCAGGCGCCCUGAAGCCUAGGCUGCCCAGCCCGGGGGCUGGGUGCCCGCCCUCGCCCUCAAGCUGCUUCCACCCCAGGGAGCCAGCUAGCACUUGGCUUUUAACCUGUGGUGCCAGCGGGGCUUCUGAGCUUCAUCUCAGCAAGCCACAGUACUUGGCCUCGGACGUCACGGGCCUGUCAGGAUUAACACGCAACAGGGCGCCCUGCUCAGGCCGCCAGCCCCGGCCCAGGAGCAGUUAAAUGCAGAUUCUGAGGAGGAACUCCUGGAGAGCUGCUGUUGAAUAAAACUGUAAUCCGAAGAUUUCUCCGCGUCCAGCUUCCCCGCUGGAGAGAAGCUGGGUCGCCGCUGAUGGCGGAGCACAGGCCUGGCUAAUCUCUGCUCUCUCCCCGAGACCUGGCCAGCCCCGAGGCUCUCCGCUCCUAUCUCCCUUAGUCCUUGGAGUCCAAACUGCUUAGAUUCGAGAAUAAAGAGGACCAGAUAUGCCCGGGAAGAAAGGCGACAUCCGGUAGUGCAGCCUCAAGACCAGCAUCCCCGCCAGGCACCCCCAGUUCUACCCACGACCCCUAGUCUCCAGCACCGCCUAGCCCGCGUCCUCCCAGCCAAACCUUAGCCUAGACGCCUCCCUUUCAGUACUCUACGGGUUUCAGCCUGGCCCUCUGAGACCAGCAAUUCCUGUCUAGGCUCUCUGCAACCCCUCGGGGUCGCGGGCAUCUGCGCCUAGCGAUAGCGCAGCGGUCGGGAGAGGGCGCCCAGGAGGCUGGCGGCCACUAGGCAUGGCCAGGGGACCUCCAGAUGGCCUCUAAGAGUGGAGAAGACCGUGAACCCCUAGGAAGUGGGUAAGAAUAGGAUUACAGCUUCUACUGGUGUCUUAAAUCUGAUAUGAUAUACAAUAUAUAUGAUAUUGAUACGAUAUGAUAUAUGAUACAUUUUAUGUUAGAUAGAUAGAUAGAUAGAUAGAUAGAUAGAUAGAUAGAUAGAUAGAUAGAUAGAUAGAUAGAUAGAUGUAGGUCCUACAACAUUACAUGAACAAGUGGAUUUCCCACCAGCAUAAUAGCACUCCAGGAAAUUGGCUGGCAUAAAAGUCCUUGAUCCCAGGCCUGGUGAGAAUGGCAACCUCGGUGUCUUCCGAGGGUAAGGGAGAUAAAACAAAAUAAACCGUACUGCCAGCAGGCCCUAGAGACAGCGUGGUUAAUGAGCUAACUAGGCCUUCCUGAAGUGUAAAGUCCCCUAGGGUACCUAGCUCCAGUGCCGGGUCUCUAACAGGCUGGGCCACCUUCGUUGACAGGUGGAGAAGCCACUCUUCCAUGUCUGGCUCCUGAGGAUCCACAACGGGCCUCAGCAUCCCCCUGGGACCAGCCCUAGACUUCUAAACCAACACUUGGAGACCAUGAGGUGGCUCUGGUGCCUUGACCUUCACUCCCCACCCCUUCAGGAGAAGAGAAGCCCAGCCCACCCUGCUCCCAGACAAAGCAUCUUGCUUUCACCUCCCCUAGACCCUUUCCUCCACACUAGCUAGCUCUUGUCUUUUUAGAACUGGACAAUAGAAAGAACAUACAUCCAUCGCUGUCCUCAAUCCAACCGAUCUGGGUGCACUGGCAAGCUCACCAGCCACGAGCCAACAGCUCCAUAAACCCAGACAAACAUACGAAGCCCACAUCCUAAUGGCGUGGACCGCCUGCACCAUUCUCUUUUGGAAGGGAUAGGAUGGAACCUCCAGGAGGGACUCUUGGCUCAAGUUCGUCCCUCACGGAAACACUUCAGUGUGAACCCAGUAGGCCUGAGACCAGCCCAGAGCGCUCUCUCCGGUCAGCUAGAGCUCCACUUACGCGGAACGCUGCCCGCCUGCCACUCCAAAACAGCCACAUAGCGUGGUGUUCGUGAUUUCUUUCCCGAGUGAGCUUCUGACCUCAACUUGUGGACGGUGACGGCUCACCUCCCCCUUACUCCUGGGUCUCUGAACUCAGAGGCCCAGAGCCCUGGACCGUGUCUGUGGAAUGGUUCAGCAUAUCUGGCCGAAGAAAUUGGCAACAUUUGCUACGAAUAAAACCCAAGCGGUUCCAGCAGCCAUUUUGAAUUAAGUUUCGCACCGCGACAAACCCUCGUCCCUCCGCCGCACAGGCAAGACCGGGUGCCCGGGGAAGGCGCAGGGGACACGGGGUGGGAGAGGACCAGCCUCUCUACCUUCCUCGGAGGCUCGGCCCAAAAUCCCAGGCUAAGGGGAUCUUGGUGGCAGGGGCGCAGCAAACUUGAGGAAAGGGCCUCUGUGGAUAUAGAACGGACUGUCACAGGGCUGCACCUACGGACCCUGGCCGCACAGCCCUCCAGUAGCAAGAGGUCUUUCCCGGUUCCCCGGCAGUGCCCUCCCUUCGCAGACGCUCCCCAUAAUCCCCCAAGGAAAGUUCCUUCAAAUGAUUCUACAUUCAAGCCUUCCAUCUCGCCUGGAGUGGUAAAGCGACUGGCAUCUAAAAGGCCUAGAUGUCGCUCGUCUCAGCCCAUUUAAAAAAAAAAAAAAAAAAAAGACUUUUAAUGCUCCAGGAGUCUCGAGCCUUUUUUAUUAGCUCUCACAGCCCAGCUGGGAAUUUAACAGUUUGGGGUCCUUUUCAAAGCUUCCUCAAAUGGAGUUUAAACCAUUUGCAGAGAGAAGGCUAGGUUUUAAGCAAGCCCACCGCGCAAGGGACUAGAAAAUAAAGCACAAAGAUUUCCCCCCUAACCAGAAAGCUCCGCAUUACGUAUUUUUUAAAGAGAAAAGUGUAAUAAAAGUUAUUACAAAGUUUAAAAAUAAAAGUGGGGGGAGUUUCCCCCUCAAAUCGUCAGCACACAGAGAAGCACAAGUAACUUUCAAAAGGCUUUUCUAGUGGAAGCUCUAAUAGAAUGGCCGACGGAACACAGUAAGCCCUGGCCAGAGAGCCCCCGGAAGAGCAUCCCACAAACAUUUCUUGUUAAAUCCUGCAGGUUUGCCUUUGAACACAGAUUGACAAAACACCCAGAAGUUUCUAAAUGUCUGUGUCAAUUCAGAGCGGCCCCUCUCCUUGACUUCAGUUGAACAAACUUCUUAAAGCAAGACAUGUUCCCCUUGUCUGACCUGCAGCUGUCCCUCUGACUUUAUUGUGCACCGGCAGAACCGGCAUGCGGUGGCUGAGUAAACUCCGCAAGUCAGAACAAUCAAUGGCUUAAAAGAUUUUCCCUAAACUAAGGCGCCUACCCUUAGAAACUCCCCAACGCUCGAGCUAAGUCUAGCGAGCAAGAUCUCAGAUUUGCUGACUCGAGUCUGAGAGGGGAUUCGGAAUCUUUAGACGGCCACUCCAGCACUGGGACUCCUUUGCGACCAACGUGGCGGCCAAGCCGGGCGCUGAAUCGGGAGGAGGCUCCCCCGCUAUACCCCAAACCAGUUUCCACGCACUGUGAAUUGUACCUCUAAUCUAGAGUGCUCUGACUUUCCGGUUGCAAGGGCUUGGGAAAUGGGGGAAGCAUCGCGCCUCACUCCUUAACUCCUGCCCAUUAUACCUACCCAUAAAUGGCAUCUUUAUCUCUCUUUAAAGCGUCAUUGACCGAGGAACCCAUGCUGGGGGCCAUGGCGUUGGUGUGAGCUGUGUGCGGGUACUGAUGCGAGUGCAGAGGAGGCCCGUGGUUCAGGUGGUGGACCGGUUGCAUGGACCUGGCUGCAUGCGGGUCCCCAUACAUCGUGGAGGGGAUGCCUACUCCAUCCAUACCCCCAUAAUGGGGUAGGUCGUCGUACUGCAUGACAAACAGGAGAGAAAAAAAGGGUCAGAGGCCAGGCGGGUAACCGGGAACGUUAGGGCACCGAGCUUAGAUCAGUACAACAGGAUCCUUCAACCCGAAUUCCCUGGCCUUACAUCUCUAAAGUUGAGCGUUCUGUUGUAAAAAUUAAUUUUAACAGUAAGAGCUCCAGAAUUCUCAGUGAGAGUCAUCUGAGAUGAAGGUUCCUGUCCUAACUUGUGUCCAUAUAGACCAAUUCAGAAAUCCAAAAUCUUUUGGCAAGGAAGGGAGGGAGGAAGGAAAAGGAAAGGCAGAGAGGCAUUCUCCCGGAGGCGGAAGGUAAAACAUGCAUGUUUCUGGAGGUGGAAACCGAAAAUCACAACAAUAAAACGUGCCGGAACAGUGUAGCAGACCCGCCUUGCUUCACACAGCCUUCACUUGGGGGGUGGGGUAUUUUUUAAAAGUUAUGAUGGGAAUAGUUGUGCCAAGCAGUGAAUUCUGAAAGGCUUCUUAUUUUACUUCCCUGCCAGCAUGGAAUUGGGCAGUCCUGUAAGACACUAUGUUUGCCUUGCUUUUCCAAACUGCUAAAUUAUACAAAAACGAACUGCCCCCCAUAUAUGUUAUCCCGCAGUGUGCACAAGGCAGCUUGUGUUGCCUUUUACAGCUGAACAUACACAUGGACAACGCUGUUUCCAAGCUUAAAGAAAGCUAUAAAGGAAGCAACUAAUACUCUACUUUGUUUUGUUUUUUUUUAACCUUCACAAACUUUCUCCCUAGAGUUGAAGUCAAGGAAGCAAUUGCUAUGUGUUAGUUUCUAAGCAGAUUCAAAAGCAAAAUACACAUGCAAAUCUCUGGUGUGUGUGUGGGGGGGGGGCUGCUUUCAAAUUGAUUGCCAUUACUGUCUGUGAUAAAUUCAGCUAUUUGGAUUUUUCUGAUUGUUUUAUUUCAAGCAAGUUACUUUUCUAAGAUUUGGAAAUCUUGAGAGGGAAAUGAUUUCCAAAGAGAGGGGAAUUGCCACUUUCAACCUCUUAAAGCCAGAGGUGGGAAGAGUUUGGAAGAAGGCUGACAUUUGUCUGAACCAAGAGAAUAAAGAAAAAUGUGUCCUCUAGUAACUUUCUUUUCCAAAAGGGGCUUUGAGGGCCAAGACACAAAUUAUGCAAGGCAGCCUUUUUGUAGACCCCUUUCUUUUAAGAAGCCACCUCUGCGGGGGCAUCAUUGUCUCAGUUUACUUUCAAGGCAUUUUCAUUCAAAUAGGAAUAUUGGGGAAAUUAGUAUUGCAUUUUAAAAGUGAGAGCUCUGUAUUUAGUAUCUAACUAGUACAGAACUUAGCUAAGGAAAAAAUCUACAAACUUAUUAUCUUGCAUAAAAUCCCAUGCAAAUUAAAAUUACUUUUAUAAAAGGAAUGUUUUUCCAACCAAAAAUUCACUGCACCAGGACAUUACUUAGCGGAAAAUGCUCCCCAUUUCUACUGAUACUGAAGAUGAAUAUAAUCGAUAAUGAGGCAAAAGUUCUCAGCUGUUCAUUUUCAUUAAACAUAGCUUUAAACUUUUGGUCCCUAAAUGCUUAAAUUACAGCACUGGAUAUGAAGCAUCUUCCCCCUUGUCUUUUUUAUCUUUUAAAACAGGUGAUUCCUUGAGCUUGUAUUUUUAUUUAUAUAGCUGUUGGCUAGGAAUCUAUAGACAACUUGAUCACUUGAAUUAACCACAAGAAACAUGCAUAAGGCUGCAAACGCAUUAAGUAAAACUGUCGAUUUAGGCCGCGGCUUUAGGAUCCUCAUUCAAAAAGAGAGAAAGAAAAGAGGAAACUUAGUAGCAGUGUCUUUCAGCCACGUUUCAAUUUAAUCUCACAUUUGACUUCCACAAUUGCUUUUAAUACGUACCCUUUGCGCCAUCGGCCUCUCUGGCUCCCUUCCUACUUCAACUUCUAAUAUAUCCUCUUUAAGGCCAGUGUGAAAAGAAACAAAUAUGCAAACUCCCCCGGAAAAAAAAA